rnacentral:rRNA from 1 species
AGCAGUAGGGAAUCUUCCACAAUGGGCGAAAGCCUGAUGGAGCAACGCCGCGUGUGUGAUGAAGGGUUUCGGCUCGUAAAACACUGUUGUAAGAGAAGAAUGACAUUGAGAGUAACUGUUCAAUGUGUGACGGUAUCUUACCAGAAAGGAACGGCUAAAUACGUGCCAGCAGCCGCGGUAAUACGUAUGUUCCAAGCGUUAUCCGGAUUUAUUGGGCGUAAAGCGAGCGCAGACGGUUAUUUAAGUCUGAAGUGAAAGCCCUCAGCUCAACUGAGGAAUUGCUUUGGAAACUGGAUGACUUGAGUGCAGUAGAGGAAAGUGGAACUCCAUGUGUAGCGGUGGAAUA